rnacentral:rRNA from 1 species
GAUGAACGCUGGCGGCGUGCCUAAUACAUGCAAGUCGAGCGAACAGAUGAGGAGCUUGCUCCUCUGACGUUAGCGGCGGACGGGUGAGUAACACGUGGAUAACCUACCUAUAAGACUGGGAUAACUUCGGGAAACCGGAGCUAAUACCGGAUAAUAUAUUGAACCGCAUGGUUCAAUAGUGAAAGACGGUUUUGCUGUCACUUAUAGAUGGAUCCGCGCCGCAUUAGCUAGUUGGUAAGGUAACGGCUUACCAAGGCAACGAUGCGUGGCCGACCUGCGAGGGUGAUCGGCCACACUGGAACUGAGACACGGUCCAGACUCCUACGGGAGGCAGCAGUAGGGAAUCUUCCGCAAUGGGCGAAAGCCUGACGGAGCAACGCCGCGUGAGUGAUGAAGGUCUUCGGAUCGUAAAACUCUGUUAUUAGGGAAGAACAAAUGUGUAAGUAACUAUGCACGUCUUGACGGUACCUAAUCAGAAAGCCACGGCUAACUACGUG